UCGACAAUAUGAAUCCCACUUCUUUCUUUAAACUCAUCCAUAUCAUCAUCAUACCAAAAUAAAAUAAAAGAAAAUAUCUUACAGCCUCAUUGCUCGUAAAUGGAACAGAGGGAGUAGCAAGAAUUCCACCAAAAGUGUGGCUUUACAUAUUAAAAAUAAUUUCUUUUGAGUAAUCAUCGACGCUACAGAAUAAGAGAGAGAGAGGGUCAAAACCACCCACGGAAUCUCCCCAGAGCUCUCUGUUUUCACCAAGUCCUAAAAUAAAACUAAUGCGUUUCACCAAGUGUUUGAGAACCUAAAACUAUUGAAUGUUGGAAUGGCUAGCGAGUAUUCAUAUAUCUGACUGUAAAAUGAGGUUAUGAGCUCAAAUAUUUCCUCUGUAGUCUAAAACUGUUGAAUGUUGGAAUGGCUAGCGAGUAUUCAUAUAUCUGACUGUAAAAUGAGGUUAUGAGCUCAAAUUUUUCCUCUGUAAUCAAGGAGCAGAAGGAAAAACAAAAACCAAAAUAAUGGGUUAGGCUGAGAAUCGCCUUCUCUCAGAAAAGUCAAAAGGCUUUGGAAAAACUGCCAUGGAUGCAAGCAACAGUUAGCCUUAUGAGACAGAUUAAGAAGCACCAAAAGGGUUCUUUUCCCCCAAUAUCCCACAGACCCAUCUGAGCUGUCACGCCAAGACACAGUGUUAUCAGCUCCAUAGAA
rnacentral:lncRNA from 1 species